CCUACGGGGGGCUGCAGUGGGGAAUAUUGGACAAUGGGGGGAACCCUGAUCCAGCCAUGCCGCGUGUGUGAAGAAGGCCCUCGGGUUGUAAAGCACUUUCAGUGAGGAAGAACGCCUGGUGGUUAAUACCCAUCAGGAAAGACAUCACUCACAGAAGAAGCACCGGCUAACUCCGUGCCAGCAGCCGCGGUAAUACGGAGGGUGCGAGCGUUAAUCGGAAUUACUGGGCGUAAAGCGCGCGUAAGUGGCUUGAUAAGCCGGUUGUGAAAGCCCCGGGCUCAACCUGGGAACGGCAUCCGGAACUGUCAAGCUAGAGUGCAGGAGAGGAAGGUAGAAUUCCCGGUGUAGCGGUGAAAUGCGUAGAGAUCGGGAGGAAUACCAGUGGCGAAGGCGGCCUUCUGGACUGACACUGACACUGAGGUGCGAAAGCGUGGGUAGCAAACAGGAUUAGAUACCCCAGUAGUC
rnacentral:rRNA from 1 species